AUCAGGUGAAUGAUGUGGAAAUGGUGUUUGCAAUUUUAUUGUGCACUUACUGUGCCAACCAGGUCUCUGGUGGACACCACGCAACAACUGUUACACAAAAUGUAUUUGUGUAUUCUGAUGCCAUUUUCGGAAACUUGCCAACAAUGUGCUUUCUUUUCUUAUAUUUGUUAUUGAUACUACGUUAGUCAUGAACCCAAUAAAGUGCUUGUCAAGAAAUUUGAAAUUUGA